UCCCGUUGGAAGGAAGCCCAGAGGAUGCCCUGCUUCUCCAGCAUCAGGAGGGAUACAGAGAAAGACUUUGCUAACGGAAGAAGCUGACAGAAGUUGAGGAAACCACAUAGACGAGAACAGAACGUAUAAAAAUGGAGGGUCACCCGGCGAUCAGGCCCGAAGACGCGA